rnacentral:rRNA from 1 species
GACGAACCGUGCGAACGUUGUUCGGAUUCACUGGGCUUAAAGGGCGCGUAGGCGGGCGGUCAAGUCCGGGGUGAAAGCCCCCAGCUCAACUGGGGAAGUGCCCCGGAUACUGAUCGCCUCGAGGGGGGUAGGGGCGGGCGGAACUUCCGGUGGAGCGGUGAAAUGCGUAGAUAUCGGAAGGAACGCCGGUGGCGAAAGCGGCCCGCUGGACCAUCUCUGACGCUGAGGCGCGAAAGCCAGGGGAGCGAACGGG